GGUAGCCGGCCUGAGAGGGUGUCCGGCCACACUGGGACUGAGAUACGGCCCAGACUCCUACGGGAGGCAGCAGUGGGGAAUAUUGCACAAUGGGCGCAAGCCUGAUGCAGCGACGCCGCGUGGGGGAUGACGGCCUUCGGGUUGUAAACCUCUUUCAAUAGGGACGAAGCGCAAGUGACGGUACCURYAGAAGAAGCACCGGCCAACUACGUGCCAGCAGCCGCGGUAAUACGUAGGGUGCGAGCGUUGUCCGGAAUUACUGGGCGUAAAGAGCUCGUAGGUGGUUUGUCGCGUUGUNCGUGAAAUUUCRCAACUCAAUUGYGAGCSUGCGGGCGAUACGGGCARACUGGAGUACUGCAGGGGAGACUGGAAUUCC
rnacentral:rRNA from 1 species